GGAACAUUGCUGCUAUAACAGCCUCCACUCUUCUGGGAAGGCUUUCCACUAGAUGUUGGAACAUUGCUGCUAUAACAGCCUCCACUCUUCUGGGAAGGCUUUCCACUAGAUGUUGGAACAUUGCUGCUAUAACAGCCUCCACUCUUCUGGGAAGGCUUUCCACUAGAUGUUGGAACAUUGCUGCUAUAACAGCCUCCACUCUUCUGGGAAGGCUUUCCACUAGAUGUUGGAACAUUGCUGCAGGGGGACUUGCUUCCAUUCAGCCACAAGAGCAUUAUUGAGGUUGGGCACUGAUGUUGGGCGAUUAGGCCUGGCUUGCAGUCGGUGUUCUAAUUCAUCCCAAAGGUGUUUGAUGGGGUUGAGGUCAGGCUCUGUGCAGGCCAGUCAAGUUCUUCCACAACGAUCUCGACACAAAACCAUUUCUGUAUGGACCUCGCUUUGUGCACUGGGGGCAUUGUCAUCCUGUACAGGAAAGGGCCUUCCCCCAAACUGUUGCCACAAAGUUGGAAGCACAGAAUUGUCUAGAAUGUCAUUGUAUGCUGUAGCGUUAAGAUUUCCCUUCACUGACCUGGAGGUAUGUACUGCUGGGUUAAACUGGGGACUGACCUGGAGGUAUGUACUGCUGGGUUAAACUGGGGACUGACCUGGAGGUAUGUACUGCUGGGUUAAACUGGGGACUGACCUGGAGGUAUGUACUGCUGGGUUAAACUGACCUGGACGUAUGUACUGCUGGGUUAAACUGGGGACUGACCUGGAGGUAUGUACUGCUGGUGCGUUAAACUGGGGACUGACCUGGAGGUAUGUACUGCUGGUGCGUUAAACUGGGGGCUGACCUGGAGGUAUGUACUGCUGGGUUAAACUGGGGACUGACCUGGAGGUAUGUACUGCUGGGUUAAACUGGGGACUGACCUGGAGGUAUGUGCUGCUGGGUUAAACUGGGGACUGACCUGGAGGUAUGUACUGCUGGGUUAAACUGGGGACUGACCUGGAGGUAUGUACUGCUGGGUUAAACUGGGGACUGACCUGGAGGUAUGUACUGCUGGGUUAGGCUGGGGACUGACCUGGAGGUAUGUACUGCUGGGUUAAACUGGGGACUGACCUGGAGGUAUGUACUGCUGGGUUAAACUGGGGACUGACCUGGAGGUAUGUACUGCUGGGUUAAACUGGGGGCUGACCUGGAGGUAUGUACUGCUGGGUUAAACUGACCUGGACGUAUGUACUGCUGGGUUAAACUGGGGACUGACCUGGAGGUAUGUACUGCUGGUGCGUUAAACUGGGGACUGACCUGGAGGUAUGUACUGCUGGUGCGUUAAACUGGGGACUGACCUGGAGGUAUGUACUGCUGGGUUAAACUGGGGACUGACCUGGAGGUAUGUACUGCUGGGUUAAACUGGGGACUGACCUGGAGGUAUGUGCUGCUGGGUUAAACUGGGGACUGACCUGGAGGUAUGUACUGCUGGGUUAAACUGGGGACUGACCUGGAGGUAUGUACUGCUGGGUUAAACUGGGGACUGACCUGGAGGUAUGUACUGCUGGGUUAAACUGGGGACUGACCUGGAGGUAUGUACUGCUGGGUUAG
rnacentral:lncRNA from 1 species